rnacentral:rRNA from 1 species
AACGCGAAGAACCUUACCAAGGUUUGACAUGGACCGAAAACUCAUGGAGACAUGGGGUCCUUCGGGGCGGUUCACAGGUGGUGCAUGGCUGUCGUCAGCUCGUGUCGUGAGAUGUUGGGUUAAGUCCCGCAACGAGCGCAACCCUCGUCCCAUGUUGCCAGCAAGUAAAGUUGGGGACUCAUGGGAGACUGCCGGGGUCAACUCGGAGGAAGGUGGGGAUGACGUCAAGUCAUCAUGCCCCUUAUGUCUUGGGCUGCAAACAUGCUACAAUGGCCGGUACAGAGGGCUGCGAGCCUGCGAGGGUGAGCGAAUCCCGGAAAGCCGGUCUCAGUUCGGAUCGGGGUCUGCAACUCGGCCCCGUGAAGCCGGAGUCGCUAGUAAUCGCGGAUCAGCAACGCCGCGGUGAAUACGUUCCCGGGCCUUGUACACACCGCAUAC